AGACCAGGAGUCUUUCCUAACCCUAUCUGGAGAUGCUGAACCACUGAGAUGGCUCUUCCCCUUAGUACUCCCCUUGUCAUGCCUCCAAACUUCAGCAAUGGGGCGCUUGUUUGCCAUGGCAAACUGGAGAUUGGGUUGCCCUGAUCGGCAGUUUUGGUGCACUUGUGGGAGCUCUGAUGUGCAAGAUGGGGCCACUUCAAUGUGUUCCAUGCUGGAAGGGGCUCUAUACUCAACAUCUCCAAAUGUACAUUAGCACCCCAUGGAGUUAUGGACUGUGGCCGGUGAAUUUUCUGUCUCAUCCCACACCCAGAGCCUAAUUUGUAUUUUUUAAGAUGUUGCUCUUUUGCUGUGGACACCCCUGCCUUUGGAAACCUUUUGCUGCCACAUGCUUCUCUGUACUAUUAUCGUAUUUGAUAUUGCAAAUUCCUGUAUGUCUAGUGAUGGGAAAUGCUUUCAAGUUCGUUUUCUUUUUUUCGUUCCUUUUCUUCAAACAAACAAACAAUCUUAAGACCUGGAGAAACUGCAAAAUUUAGAGCCAAUCUUGUCAUAGCUCUUUGUCAUUUUGCCAGAUGAUUGUACCACAUACUAUCUCCACCACUGUGCAGUGUUUCUUCCCCAGGUCUUUUAGGGGUUAUCUAGCAUCUCAUUUGCAGUUGUUAGAUGCACUGUCUUGAAAUUUUUAUGAGAUCAAUUUCUCCCCCCUCCCACCCUUUUCCUUUUCCUUGCAUUUCCAAGGAAGAAUAUGACAUUAUUUCUCCAAAACGACAUGCUGGUUUCCUGCUGCAAAUCUCCCAUUUUUAUUUUACCUAUCUAGGAACCAGAAGAAUAGGAUGCUUUAAAGGCCUAAUUUAUGUAUGUUGUAGGCCACAGGUUAAAUCAUUACUCGUGUAAACAUUUCAAGCACAUUCCUGACUUGCUUAAAUGUACUUACCACAUGCAUCAUCCCAUUUUCCAUCUGGCUGGUCUAGGCAACUGUGCUGUUGACAUCCUAACACCUCAUGAGAACAGGCCAGCAAAUGUUUACGCCCAUUUAUAUGUAGCAGCAUGGAAUGCUUACAUGAAUAAUGGCCUUGUCAUUAUAUAUAUUCAAGUUAGUAUUUGCUUAACUACAUUGUCCACUGUUUCAAAAUCACAAUCACAUGGGCACAGCUCGGCAGACCACCCAGUUUUUUGAGGUGCUCCAUACUUCAGGUGGACGAAGUCCAAAUUGUUUUAUUGCAAUCCUAAACUGCAAUUUCAUUUGGGACAUUUGUGAUGGCUCCAGAAACAGUGGUCCUUGUUCAUGGCUAUUCCAUUUCCCCACCCCCUAAAAUUCUGAAAUACCGUACAGCGUAGAGUACUCCUCUUCCCUCCUUCCUUGGGAACUAAAUAGGGCUUGCACUUUUACUCUUAGGCCCCCCCAAGAAACUUUUUAGUGUGUGUAAAAGGGGAGGAGAGGGAUGCCACCCAUGUUAAUUUGCAUUAGUAAAAACUCCUCCUCUGGGUGUGCCUCUUGAUUGGAAUCAGGGAAGCACUGAGCAAAGAGUCCCCCAGGGACACACGGAGAAACUUCAGAAAAUGAAGUUUUGUGCCUUCUUUGGCAGUAACUGAUUGAUCUAAUCAUGCCUGUGGCAAAGACAUGGUAUAAUUAUCUGCCCUUAGCAGAAACUGAUCAGAAGGAGGUUGGAGGAAGUUAGUGUAGUCGAUCCGGUAGAGGCACAGCAUGUCUGGAUGGGUACUCUUCACAGCACAUUACAGUGUGUUUAGCAGAUUGGCUUGGAUUUUCCAAACUUUUCAGAAUUGAUUCAUCCAUUCAUCAUGAGCCAGGUGCAUGGGGUGGGGUGUAGGGGUGGGGGGGCACCCAUCCAGAAGCAGAUAAGAUGUGUGACUUACUCUGUUUAUCAAAGUUUAUCAAACUGAGUGCAAAAAUGUAGGUACAUUUGAGUGCUAGUGUGAAUGUGUGUUUGCACAUCCUCACGGGAUGCUCUUUUGAAUGCUGGGGUUAAUUCGGUUUUCUUCGUGCCCCAUGGAAGUAGUGAAACUAGGCAAUAGAAAACGUGCAUCAAAGAACAGACAGACUGGCAGAGCAGUCAUUACACAUGCCUACUCAGAAGUUAUUGUAUUCAGUUAAGUGAGUGUGUUUUGGAAUCAUAGCCUAAAUAUGAGAAGAGGGCUGCUGAUCGCUAUGGAUAUAUCCCUUUCAUUCGAAGCAAGAACAUUGGUGAAUCAUUCCCACCCACGUCAAACUAUUUUGCGUGGCUACAAAAUUUGCACGUGUGAAAUUGUGAAGUGAUGCCCAUCCCAUCCCCAUAAGAAACAUUUGGUAAAAAAAGGAGGGACAAAUUUAGUUGAAUUGAAUGGAAUGUUUAUUAUUAUUAUUACUAUUUUUAUUUCCCACUGGAUAAUUUUUCAGUGAUGGUUGGGAACACAGGUUAGGGCUAUUGCUCUUGCUAUUAGCCCUACAUUUGAUAGAAUUUGCUGCUCUACAACCUACUCCUCAGAGCUUGGAGAUCACUGGGAAGGAAAUAUAUUGCUGUUUCAACACUUGCUCUGCCAAUCAACAGAAAAUAAUGGUUUCUAGAGAAACAAUCUUCCUGGCUCUAACCUAUCUUGAUAAAAAAAAAAUUAGUCACUUUUGAUUUAUUUAAAUUAAAAAAUAGCUACAGAAAAACAGCCUCCAAUCUUUAUCGGACUGCAGAUCAAAUAAGCUGGAGUAAUUUCUUUUCUUUAGAAAAAGGUAGAGAAAAUGGAUAGGCCUUGGUGUUCUGCUUUUUCAUGCAGUUAUCUAAUUUAUAGACUGUCAGUGUGCUUUUUUUGCCCAAUAAGUUGAAAGUUGCCUUUUUUUUAAAAAAAGAAAACUUAAUGAAAUCACGCCCACUUAAUUGCUGUUGACUUAUUCCUAACUCUUGGAAACAUGACCCUUUGAUAGGACCUGAUCCAUAGGUACUGCUAGUGUAAAAAGACCCUCACAUUUGCGAUAGGCACCAAGAUCUGAGUGCUAGCAAGAUCCAGUCUGCAUGCAUUAUGUAUUUGGAAGAGCAGGAGAAGGAUUCCAGCCAGCAGCUGGGAAAGAACAGAAGGGAUGGCCCAGUGCCCUGCUUUAGCAAACUGUCAAGACCAUGGGAGUGCAAGAGGUAUUUGGAGCUAUAAUGCCAACAGCGGUAAGAGUUUGGCUCCUGGGUCACCUGGCUCACAAGAUUCUGCUUAAUAUCCCAGCAUGACACACACACCCCUUUCACAGUUCCCACCUCCAACCAGCGCUGAUUUCACAGGACUCAUUGUAUGAGAUUUGUGGCAUUUUGUAAUUUGUAGAUCCAUAGGCGAAAACAUUGCGCUUACUGACAUUAGCCACUUUCAUGCUUCACUAGUGUUGGAUCCUUGUCCAAGUAGAGCAGCUGUUCUGUGUGUAGGGAGAAAAAGCACAUCAAGAAAUCAAUGCCCUCUGUCCAUAGGUUGCUCUGGAAGAAAAUUCUGUAGUGUGCAAGUGUUGGCACAUGCAAAAGCAAAUGACUCAGUGGGUGCAUGUGCUCUGUUGUGUCAUCUCAUAGGCCAUGGGCCCAACUUUGUCAGUACUGCCUGCACUGAUGACCAGUAGCUUUCCGGGGUUUCAGACAGGAGAUUACUGUGAUUGAAUCUGGAACCCUUUGCAUAUGAAUUAUGUGCUCUACAACUAAGCUGCAGUCCUUCCUAUGAAAGCUCCCCAGCAGCAAGGACUUCUUCAUUCAUUUCACUGAAGGGCCAUUCAUUUCAAUGAAGGAUUUGUAGGCCAUUCAUCCUUUGAAAUGAAUCGGCCAAUAUACAAAUGCAAGGGCUGCCCGUGCUUGUUGUAGAGCAUGCAAAGCUCCAGAUAGGGGGAUCACUGUUGCGCCUGAGCCAUCCCUCAUUGCCUUUAUCAAAGAUAGGAUUGCAAAUAUUUUUCACUGCCACCAUUUCACUGUUAUUUUCAAUUCAUGGAAAGUCAUAUUAGCACCCUGCAAAACGUUCUCCACUGUCAAACUUGCUUUGCUUACCUGUUGAAUCAGCGUAGCAUUCCACCCGCCCCCGGUCAGGUAUAAUAUGGAUUUUGAUUUGCAGCAAUGCUUUUUAUUCACACUUGUAACUUAAUCAGUGCUUAUUCUCUGAGUAUCUAGCUCCAAAGAUAGCAUAACACGAGUGGAUUUAUGGGUAGUUCAUUUUAGAAGGGGGAAAACACCCUCUGCCUACUUGCAAGACUAGCCGUCAGGCAGUUCCUCUCACAAGUCAAAUUAUACUUUUUCCUCCCAGGAACAUCCAUUUUGUUGUUGUUUGAACGAAAUUUACAAAGGCAGUAGUGUGGGAAGGGCUGGUAAAAUAUGAUUCAUGGCUGGAAUGAACAUGAGCAUUUAACUGUAUUGUCAAGAUGAGGCUGUUGCCAUUUCCCUUGUUUUAUUGUGAAGCUGGAGAUGGCUUGUGGAUCACACACAUUGUGCAGAAGUGAACUAUGUUUUCCUUUUUUUUUCCAAAUAGGAAACAAGUUGUAAAGAACACGUUAUCCAAUUAAUAUGUUGAAAUUACUCUUGGAGAGGGGGCGGGGCGGGAAAGAGAAAAAAAGAGAGAAACUAAUCACAAAUGGAAACUUCAUUUGUCGAUCAAUGGGGGAAAUUGAUUAUCGUGUUGGUACAGCUGCCUUUGCAGCUUUAGAUAAUCGUUGACCCGGCAUAGAAGUUGUAUUCACUUUAGUGGAGGAACCCGGCAAGAUUUUCACCGUGGCAUCGGUGAAAAUGGAUUUGUUACUGGCAUCAGCUGACGUUCAGCUGAUUCAAGCUGGGAUCUUGUAAUCUUUAUGACAAAGAGCUGACCUGGCAGAAGCUUGUGUUUUUCAGCAACGGAUGCCACCUGGCGCCAAUCAAAUGCCAAGGUCUAAAGUUGCAGAAAUGUUUGAAGUCCUGCAGCAGCAGCAAAGGAGAAAAAGAGACGCGUCGCGAUGCUAAAGACACUUGUGUUGCCCGCUUAGCAGUGGAAAGAUUUUGGUGGGACUUGAGUUUUCUCCUGCUUUCUCACGUGUCUCUGCUGCUGAUAAUAUGAAGAACAAAACUUGUUGUAUAUGCUGAUAUGUAUGUUAUGUACAUUUUCACAGUGAUUGAAUCAUUGUAAACAGGGAAAAAUGGGGUGGGGUGGGGGAAAUAAUCACCAUGCUGUCUAUUUUAUGAAGAUGAUAAAGCAGCUUUAUUAAAUUAUUACAACUCUGUUUGAAAAGAAUGGUGUACCUGCCACAUUGUUUUUUUCUUUCUUAAAAAAACCUGAUGCAAACUGUUUUCCCCACUUUGAUGUGAUUUUUAUUUCUCUGCUUCAAGAAUCUAAUGCAUUUUAGUAUUAAAGGCAAUUAUUGAAUAAAAAUGGAAAAUAAGUGUUUGGUU